rnacentral:rRNA from 1 species
GAUGAACGCUGGCGGCGUGCCUAACACAUGCAAGUCGAACGAAGCAUACGGGACGGAGAUUCGUCGAAGCCCUGUAUGACUUAGUGGCGGACGGGUGAGUAAUGUAUGAGCAACCUGCCUUUCAGAGGGGGACAACAGUUGGAAACGACUGCUAAUACCGCAUAAUGUAUUUGGGCGGCAUCACCUGGAUACCAAAGGAGCAAUCCGCUGAAAGAUGGGCUCAUAUCUGAUUAGCUUGUUGGCGGGGUAACGGCCCACCAAGGCGACGAUCAGUAGCCGGCCUGAGAGGGUGAACGGCCACAUUGGGACUGAGACACGGCCCAAACUCCUACGGGAGGCAGCAGUGGGGGAUAUUGCACAAUGGGGGAAACCCUGAUGCAGCGACGCCGCGUGAGUGAAGAAGUAUUUCGGUAUGUAAAGCUCUAUCAGCAGGGAAGAUAAUGACGGUACCUGACUAAGAAGCACCGGCUAAAUACGUGCCAGCAGCCGCGGUAAUACGUAUGGUGCAAGCGUUAUCCGGAUUUACUGGGUGUAAAGGGAGCGUAGACGGCAAAGCAAGUCUGAUGUGAAAGCUAUGGGCUCAACCCAUAAACUGCAUUGGAAACUGUUUAGCUAGAGUGUCGGAGAGGUAAGUGGAAUUCCUAGUGUAGCGGUGAAAUGCGUAGAUAUUAGGAGGAACACCGGUGGCGAAGGCGGCUUACUGGACGAUAACUGGCGUUGAGGCUCGAAAGCGUGGGGAGCAAACA